GGGGCCGUGGUGCAGCCCGGUUAGCACGUCGGCCUGUCAAGCCGGAGGUCGCGGGUUCAAAUCCCGUCGGCCCCGCCA
rnacentral:tRNA from 1 species